GAUGAAGAACGCAGCGAAAUGCGAUACGUAAUGUGAAUUGCAGAAUUCAGUGAAUCAUCGAGUCUUUGAACGCACAUUGCGCCCUCUGGUAUUCCGGAGGGCAUGCCUGUCCGAGCGUCAUUGCUGCCCUCAAGCACGGCUUGUGUGUUGGGCUCCGUCCCCCGAUCCCGGGGGACGGGCCCGAAAGGCAGCGGCGGCACCGCGUCCGGUCCUCGAGCGUAUGGGGCUUUGUCACCCGCUCUGUAGGCCCGGCCGGCGCUUGCCGAUCAACCAAAUUUUUAUCCAGGUUGACCUCGGAUCAGGUAGGGAUACCCGCUGAACUUAAGCAUAUCAAAAGCGGAGGA
rnacentral:misc_RNA from 1 species